UGUUUGGCUGAUGGCAGUAUCUGAACGCGUUUUUAUUUGGCAGCUUCACGCGCCGGGGAGUUUUCCUGUUUUUGUCUAUGGCUGUUCGGAUAGGCAGGGUUUGGUUGAAUCAAUGUUUAUAUAAUUUCUGUGGUAGCUUUGCGAGGUGCUGUAGAAGGGCUAGAGCUGAGAGUUUUGUUGUUUAUUGGAUGAGAAACUCAUCUUGCGGGAAGCGGAACCAGUCUUAGCGGAAGGAGUUCAUAUGGCCAGCCAGCGUGCAAUCGCUAAACACGGUUGUCGCAUAAAGCAUGUUCUAGAAAACCCUGAUGACAUUUCAGAAGGAAUUUGACUACGAAAGCUUCAAGGUUGGCAUUCAGUAACAAGACACAAUCUUCAAGAACAAAUAAUGAAGUCAAGUAUCGUUGACAGUGUGAGAUGACUUCUACACUUGCAAACGUGAUUAUUGCAAAGCAACGACCCGUUGAUCAAGACAUGUUGUUGAUGAAAGGUGCCAUGCCAUUACAUUUGAAAAGUAGAAUUGGAGGUUGUGUCAUAGAUCACAAUUUCUGUCGCUUGUCUCUUUACUUGUUGAAGUGUCUGUCUUCUUCCUGCCUUGUAUUAUUCUUAAUUCAUUCUUGCUUUGCUAUAAUCAUUAAGAUGCUAUAACAGAGGAAGAAUAAUCAUAAUAUUCGCACUUGAUGCUUGUAGAAUGUAGUUAUUUUGAGAAUAAUUU
rnacentral:sRNA from 1 species